rnacentral:rRNA from 1 species
GUGUCAGCCGCCGCGGUAAGACGUAGGGGGCGAGCGUUGUCCGGAAUCACUGGGCGUAAAGGGCGUGUAGGCGGCUUUGCAAGUCAGUGGUGAAACACCUGGGCUCAACCGAGGUAUUGCCGUUGAAACUGCAUCGCUUGAGGGUAGAAGAGGAGUGUGGAAUUCCCGGUGUAGCGGUGAAAUGCGUAGAGAUCGGGAGGAACACCAGUGGCGAAGGCGGCACUCUGGUCUACCCCUGACGCUGAGGCGCGAAAGCUAGGGGAGCAAACAGGAUUAGAUACCCUGGUAGUCCUAGCCGUAAACGAUGGGCACUAGGUGUAGGAGGUUUAGAUACCUUCUGUGCCGUAGCUAACGCAUUAAGUGCCCCGCCUGGGAAGUACGGUCGCAAGGCUGAAACUCAAAUGAAUUGACGG